rnacentral:rRNA from 1 species
GACGAACGCUGGCGGCGUGCUUAACACAUGCAAGUCGAACGGAAAGGCCCUGCUUUUGUGGGGUGCUCGAGUGGCGAACGGGUGAGUAACACGUGAGUAACCUGCCCUUGACUUUGGGAUAACUUCAGGAAACUGGGGCUAAUACCGGAUAGGAGCUCCUGCUGCAUGGUGGGGGUCGGAAAGUUUCGGCGGUUGGGGAUGGACUCGCGGCUUAUCAGCUUGUUGGUGGGGUAGUGGCUUACCAAGGCUUUGACGGGUAGCCGGCCUGAGAGGGUGACCGGCCACAUUGGGACUGAGAUACGGCCCAGACUCCUACGGGAGGCAGCAGUGGGGAAUAUUGCACAAUGAGCGGAAGCCUGAUGCAGCAACGCCGCGUGCGGGAUGACGGCCUUCGGGUUGUAAACCGCUUUCGCCUGUGACGAAGCGUGAGUGACGGUAAUGGGGAAAGAAGCACCGGCUAACUACGU